rnacentral:rRNA from 1 species
UACAGAGACUGCAAGCGUUAUUCGGAUUCACUGGGCGUAAAGGGUGCGCAGGCGGCCGUUGUGUGUGAGGCGUGAAAGCCCGGAGCUCAACUCCGGAAUUGCACCUCAAACUACACGGCUAGAGCAUUGGAGAGGGAAGCGGAAUUCACGGUGUAGCAGUGAAAUGCGUAGAUAUCGUGAGGAACACCAGAGGCGAAGGCGGCUUCCUGGACAAUUGCUGACGCUCAGGCACGAAAGCGUGGGGAGCAAAAGGG